UGGAAUAUACCGGUACUCUAUGUGAAGACAACAAUUUAUUAGUCAGAUGUGGAUUUGAGAAAAACAUGUGUAACAUUUCCGUUCGCAACUUUACAAGAACCAGUUCCUUCUUAGGCAUUCCUGUUCCGCCAGAG